UUAUCUCUGUAGAGUCUGCAUAUCAAUAAGCGGAGGAAAAGAAACUAACUAGGAUUCCCUUAGUAACGGCGAGUGAAGCGGGAAGAGCUCAAAUUUGAAAUCUUCAAGGUUCUACCUUGACGAAUUGUAGUUUAAAGAAGUGUUUUCUGUUAGAUGAGUUAGGCUAAAAGUUCCUUGGAAUAGGGACAUCAUAGAGGGUGAGAAUCCCGUAUUUGACUUAUUCAUUCUAGCUUUGUGAUACACUUUCAAAGAGUCGGAUUGUUUGGGAAUGCAGUCCAAAAUGGGUGGUAAAUUUCAUCUAAAGCUAAAUAUUGGCGAGAGACCGAUAGCGAACAAGUACCGUGAGGGAAAGAUGAAAAGAACUUUGAAAAGAGAGUUAAACAGUACGUGAAAUUGUCAAAAGGGAAGCGUUUGACACCAGUGUUGUUUUUCCGAAAAUCAAUUACGAAUGGCUUGAUUCUGUGUUGUAUUGACCUUAUCAGCUUUCUUCACUUUUUUCGAGUCUUUCUUAAUGCACUUUUCGGUUAACAAGUCAACAUCAAUUUCUUUUGUUGUAAAAGAGUAUUCGGAAGGUGGCUUUCUUUUCGGAGAAAGUGUUUAUAGCCCUAUACUUCUACAAUCGGAGAGAUUGAGGUCUGCAGCGUAGAUCCUUCGGGGUUAGAUACAUUUGUGCUAAGUUAUAGCUUUCAUAGACAACUUGUUGACUAUGAUUAGUCAUGUCGCUUACUCGCUUAUGCUAUUUUACCUACGCUUAGGAUGUUGAAGAUGUAGCACAUCAU
rnacentral:rRNA from 1 species